rnacentral:lncRNA from 1 species
CAGCACAGAGUCUUGCUGCGCAGUCACUCAAGCAAACGGCAGCAAAUGCAAACGCUCCAACGGCCAAAGCAAAUGAGACCCAUGAAGACGCCCCCGCCCCACAUGCUGGCGCCCCCCCAGGCACGGAGGUCUCGGGGUCAUCACUCACCAGCGAAGCCUCCGCACUCCAGAAGAAACAACAGGAGGAACGUGGGUGUUCUUCAAGGACGGCUCAACUAUGAGCGAAACUGUCAUCUUGCAUAGGUGGCCACGUAGGUGGCCAUAACCCCACAUCCCUUCACUGACACAUGGAAUAACACACUCAGAGUGCCCCGUACGGAUCUUUAGACUGAAUCCCUAAGAUUUCACAAGGAAGAAUGAAACACAGCUGAAGGAAUUCUGGCAUUGAAAUGAAUUUGAUGUGGCUGUAUCUAACGCCAUGUUCGCUUGGGAAAAUAUACUGCCUCUAUUGCAGUACAAUUAAUAAGAGUUUAAUGAUGAAACACUGGAAAUAUAUCACAGUUUUAUCUCUCUCUGAUCUUCCUCUAGCCCACGCCGUCCAUGUCCAACUUAUUGAAGAGCAUUGAGAUAACUGGCUUUGAAUCAUCAGACAGGUCACUCUGGAGAGCGGCUUAAAGUCUUUGCACCUCUUUCACAAAGAGCUCCUGGCAUCUAGCAGGCAGCAGCCAGUGAUGCUCCUAAAACCCUGCAAUACACAAGACGGUGCCCAUGAAGAGGAAUUAUGCAGCCCGGACGUCAGGAGAGCUGAGGGUGAGAAGCCCUGCUGUGGAGGGGACUCGCACGACAUUUGUCUUCCCCACACCAGGAGAGGGAGGAGUGAGGGCAAGACGGUGUCUGCUUUGCUCGCCUGCAGAGUCGGCCCUCGAGAAAAGUGGCAUAUUGAAAAGGGCCCUGCACUCUGUCGCUGAUCUGUGUGAUGCCAGACUCUGUGGGGCCCAGCUUCCUCAUCCUGAAAUGCAGAAUAGUCAAGCCCACUUCCAGGGUGAGUGGACAGUUCCACGAUGCACGUGGAAUAUGAGAAAUGCACAAAUAUCCACUUCCCCUCUCAAGUGGCGAUGACAUGUGAGCUAAAAGCCCUGCCACAAUUCUAUUCUUCCAGCUCAGCCCUGAGAUGUCCUGUUAGCAAUGAUUUAUUCACCUCAAAUUUCAACAUCCAGUUUCAUUACCAUCAAAUUUAAGAAAACAUAAAAGAUCUUCAAAUUCCUUCUUUUCCAAUCAAGUCACGGGAAGUGAGAGGAUAAUAGAGUUCUGCAGAAGAGAUUUCCAAUUACAGAAGCCACAAACCACCACAGCAUAUUAAACCUGCAGUGACUGGGCAGCAACGCGCUGGGCAGAGCACCAGCCUGAGUCAUCCUGCCUUUCUGUCCAUCUCCCAUGCCUGGAGUCCAGGAACCACGCCUGACUUCUGCCAAGCGGACAACUGCUCUGAACCUCUGCCCUGGCGCAAAUGCCAUCCACGAGGAUACAGCACCAGCCAGGUCCAAGUCAGGAAAUGAGUGAGUUACUAGAAAUAGAGGCCGAAUGAAAGGCUUACGGCUAAAGACAGCAUCCGUUUAGUUCCCCUCAAUGCCUGUCUGAGGACUGCUGACCAGGUGCUGAGACUGUUAAUGCAUACAGGACGGAGGCAAAAGAAAGACGUGUCUUACUCUCUUCCUCGAGGAGCUGACACAUGCAUCUGGGAGGCAAGAAACAUGCAGGAUGGUUUAUAAAAGCAAUGACAGUGCCUCAGCCAGGGCUGCUUCCAAUGACAAUUAAUGCAAUCAUAUUACACGAAUGGUAUUAGAAGUGGCUGACACAUAAACUACUUACUAUCCAUGGUGUAAAGCGCUGUUCUAGGCGCCUAACAUACAGAUGAACUUAUUCAAAUUCUAUCCAUGGUGUAAAGCCCUGUUCUAGGCACCUAACACACAGAUGAACUUAUUCAAUCCUUACAACAGUCCUGUGUGGUGCGUUACUCAUCUUUUAUGCCCAAUUUAAUGAUGAAGAAACAGAGGAGUGGAACUUGCCCCAGGCCAGGCAGUGGUAACCCUCAGAGCCUGGGUGCCGAGUCCGGCUCCUACAUACACCAGCAAAGCAGAGAAAGAGAAUGCAAGAGUGGAGCGGUUGUCUGGGGUGAUCCCAGGAACAGGUGCCUUCAGAUGGCUUCUAAUCCUCAUUGGGUGUGACAGCUCCCCGUGCUCCCUGUAGCAACCAGAGGGUGAUAAAAGACAGCUUUUCUUCUUUUGUAAAAUUGACUUUUCAGCAUUUUAUUUUAAGCAAAUGAAACACAAAAGAAAUGUGACUUGUUACUUAAGUAUAGAUGCUUUAAAUAGAAGAUAAAGGAGAGUGGAAUGCCCCAACCUAUUUUAAGUUCAUUUUCCACCUCACUAUUUUGAAAGCAUGAAUGGUAAGAUAAACAGUGAGAAGUCCUGGAGGGUAUUAAGGUGGUGACGAGAUGGUGCAACCCCACCUGCCCAGGGAGAGCAAGGGUUUGGCUGGGAUGAAUCACGCCGUGUGACUGCUGCCGACCUUCGGGGAACUGCUGAGAACUUGUCAGAGCCAGGCACCGUGGGACAUCACCUCCAUUUUCUACCUGCCUUCAGAGUCGGCCACUCUGAAGGGCAGUGCUGAGGACACUGAGAGAGAACUCUCAGGGAAAGACUAGGGCUCAAUUCGAGGAAGACCUUUCCAAUUGUCAUAAAUAUCCGAAGACCUGUGGGAGAAAAGCUGCCUAGGGACAGUGUUAGUCACCCCGAGAAAUGGCCAAUGGGGGCUGGACCGCAACUGGGGAGGAUGCUGCUGAACUCAGGUCUGAGGGCAACUGCGUGAAGAAGCCCUAAGGCCCCCAUCACUCUGAGAUUUCAGGGCUCAUACGUUCUCUGCACACUCGGCACCUCCUCAGGCUGCAGCGGCUGCCUCUGCACGCCCCAGGACGGCGUCUUCCCGCCAGGCUUGUGCCUUGCGCCUCGCGCCUCCAAGUCUCUACUGUGGAUCCGUGAGAGCAUCAGAGAACCACGGCAUUUUCCUACAUCACUGCUGUGUGCUUUGCACAGAUGCAAAAUGUUAAAAGAGUUCAGAGGCUGCAGGACUUGGCAGGGCUAGGGUAAGUUGGAAAAGCCUUCCUAAGAGCCUAGAUAUUUGGACAGGGCGUGCAAGGUGGGUGUGAUUUAGAUGUGAGAAUGGAGUUUCAUGCAUUCCACCUAAAGGAAUGUAGCAGAAUGGGACGUCCUGUAAGAUACAGGCACAUCGAGAAUUUACACUGGAGGCCAAAUGAAGUAGACAGGGAAACAAGGGGAAGGAAUUCUUGGUGCAAAACCAACUGUGAGGGGCUGAAAUGUGGCCCCCAGAUUCCUAACCCCCAGGACCUCAGAAUGUGACUGCAUGUGAAGAUAGGGUUUCAUCAAACAGGACUGGGGUCCUUACAGGAAGGGGUGAUCACGACACAGACACACACACAGAGGGAUGACCAUGUGAGGUCACAGCAAGAAGACAGCGUCUGCCAGCCAAGGGGAGGCCUUGGGAAUCCAGCCCUGCCCACAUCUCCAUCUGGGACUUCUGGCUUCCAGGACUAUGAGAGAAUAAAUGUUGUUGAAACCACACUAUCUGUGGAAUUUUGUAAUGACAGCCCCAGCAGAGGAACACCAGCCUUGAAAGCUUUGAUCAAAAGCUGUCCAUUAUUUUAUAACAUAGAACUGUGGAAUUCCAAUGUGGAUUUAGGGUUCUGCAUUCUCUGCUGUGCUGUAAGCUCCAAGCAGGAAGGGGCUGUGUGUGCGGGAACUAGCUCAGUGUCUACCUGUGUCCCACUCCGGGCACCGGGCGUCACGUGCACAGAGUUGAGGGUGACACCUAGUAUGUGCGGAGGACCUGCGUUUGGCACAGGAACGGACGAUCAGUUGUGGAUGCUGUAUUACAGGAAGACGCCACUUAGAGCCAUCGCAGUCAAUUUGACCUUUGUGCUGGGAGAGCAUCAGGAAUAGAUGGUUCCAGGCUAAGUAAAAGUUUACCUACAUGCUGCAGAGAUGCCUUGGAUUUCAAGCCAGCACGGGCUGCUGCGGCUGUAUUUCUGGAGUCAGCAGAUAAUGAAUUAUUAGAUCACCAGCUAAUGAGGUAACGCUGUAGCAUACCACAUGCUUUAUGCCAAAAAUAAAAAAUUGAUAUACGGCACCAGACGCA